CGCCCCUACGGGAGGCAGCAGUGAGGAAUAUUGGUCAAUGGGCGGUAGCCUGAACCAGCCAAGUAGCGUGAAGGAUGAAGGCUCUAUGGAUUGUAAACUUCUUUUAUAAAGGAACAAAGUGAGGCACGUGUGCCUUUUUGUAUGUACUUUAUGAAUAAGGAUCGGCUAACUCCGUGCCAGCAGCCGCGGUAAUACGUGGGAUCCGAGCGUUAUCCGGAUUUAUUGGGUUUAAAGGGAGCGUAGAUGGGUUGUUAAGUCCGUUGUGAAAGUUUGCGGCUCAACCGUAAAAUUGCAAUUGAUACUGG
rnacentral:rRNA from 1 species